AUGGACACACAUGUACAUUUGAAUGGUAUACCCUCAUGCCCUCAUGCUCCCGACUGCUCCUAUCCAUCAUCUAACCUCCGCAGCUCUGACAGUAGUGUCCCUACACCAGCCCUGUGUGUGUGUGUGUGUGUGUGUGUGUGUGCAGUGCCCCUACACCAGCCCUGUGUGUGUGUGUGUGUGUGUGUGUGUGUGUGUGUGUGUGGUGCAGUGACCCUACACCAGCCCUGUGUGUGUGUGUGUGUGUGUGUGUGUGGUGUGUGUGGUGUGUGUGUGUGUGUGCCCUACACCAUAGCCCUGUGUGUGUGCGUCGUGUGUGUGUGUGUGUGUGUGUGUGCAGUUGCCCUACACCAGCCUGUGUGUGUGUGUGUGUGUGUGUGUGUGUGUGUGUUGUGUGUGUGCAGUGCCCCUACACCAGCCCUGUGUGUGUGUGUGUGUGUGUGUGUGUGUGUGUGUGUGUGUGUGUGUGUGUGUGUGUGUGUGUGUGUGUGCGCAGUGCCCCUACACCAGCCCUGUGUGUGUGUGUGUGUGUGUGUGUGGUGUGCCCCUACACCAGCCCUGUGUGUGUGUGUGUGUGUGUGUGUUGGUGUGUGUGGUGUGUGUGUGUGUGUGCGUGCAGCGGCCCCUACACCAGCCCUGUGUGUGUGGUGUGUGCAUGGCCCCUACACCAGUCCCAUGUGUGUGUGUGUGUGUGUGUGUGUGUAUAUGUGUGUGUGUGUGUGUGUGUGUGUGUGUGUGUGUGUGUGUGUGUGCGCAGUUGCCCCUACACCAGCCCAUGUGGUGUGUGUGUGUGUGUGUGUAGUGCCCCUACACCAGCCCUGUGUGUGUGUGUGUGUGUGUGUGUGUGUGUGUGCAGUGCCCCUACACCAGCCCCAUGUGUGUGGUGCAGUGCCCCUACACCAGCCCUGUGUGUGUGUGUGUGUGUGUGUGUGUGUGUGUGUGUGCAUGGCUAUCUAUAGCCCGCUGGCUUCAAUGGGAACCACUAAUGACAAUCAACAGCACUGUAGAGUUUGCCAACCAAACAGCAGUCAGUUAUUAUCUAUCCAUGGUCACAGUCCCAAACAGUGUGCUCAAUGUUUUACAUUCCUACCUUAUAUAUGUGGGGCCUGCGUAGGUAUCCAUCUUAUAUAUGUUUUAUAUAUGAUACAUCACAGCCAAUCGAAAUUGGCGGCAAAGUCACCAAACAGGAAGUGA
rnacentral:lncRNA from 1 species